rnacentral:lncRNA from 1 species
GCGGUCUUAUUAAAAACACUAUGUUAUGUAACACCAGAAUCAAAUAUCAAUGUAAUCAAAGACAUUGUGGGAGCCCAUCACAAUAUUCUCUAACCACCAAAAUGGUCGCCAUUAAUGGGCCAAGUUUUCCUUCUCAGCUCUUCUACAAUGGACAUAGUAGGAAGAGAAUCUAGUAGGUGUGUAGCUUGGAUAUUGCUAAUACUUUCGUGCAUGAUCGACUACUCCAUAAAUAGAUGAAACGUCCGAUAGCAACUUUGGCCAUGGUGGGCACACCU